rnacentral:rRNA from 1 species
UGGUCAAGUUAUUAAGGGUGCAGGGCGGAUGCCUUGGCACUAGGAGCCGAUGAAGGACGCGAUAAGCUGCGAUAAGCUUCGGGGAGUUGCACGUAAACUUUGAUCCGAAGAUUUCCGAAUGAGGAAACUCACUUAGAGUAAUGUCUAAGUAUCAUUAAGUGAAUACAUAGCUUAAUGAGGGGAACUCAGGGAACUGAAACAUCUAAGUACCUGAAGGAAGAGAAAGAAAUUCGAUUCCGUAAGUAGCGGCGAGCGAACGCGGAAUAGCCCAAACCAAUAAAGUUUUCUUUAUUGGGGUUGCGGACAUAUCUUAAACGAAGAGGUAUCGUAAUUGAAGAGGUUUGGAAAGACCCACCACAGAAGGUAAUAGUCCUGUAUGUCAAACGAGAAAACUUCAGAUAUGAUCCAGAGUACCACGGGACACGUGAAACCCUGUGGGAAGCAGGAGGGACCACCCUCCAAGGCUAAAUACUACCUAGUGACCG